rnacentral:lncRNA from 1 species
UUGGUCUGAAAACCCAUGGGUUGAGCUUCAUUGCCUGAUUGAAGCUAAAGUCCCAUUGAGUGCUAACAUGGGUUAGGAUUGGGUCUGAUUGAAUUAAAAUUAAGGACUUUUUACAAGCUCGUCAUUGGGCCAUAUAGAGUUGGGCAUGGAAUGGUUGGGUAGGAAGGGAGGUUGCAGUGGUGUGGGUGUUAGCUUGUCCGUUCCAAGAUGAGUGGUUCCUAGAGCGG